rnacentral:rRNA from 1 species
AUACGGAGGAUCCAAGCGUUAUCCGGAUUUAUUGGGUUUAAAGGGUGCGCAGGCGGAAUGAUAAGUUAGUGGUGAAAUCCCGAGGCUCAACUUCGGAACUGCCAUUAAUACUGUCAUUCUUGAAUUCGGUUGAAGUGGGCGGAAUGUAGCAUGUAGCGGUGAAAUGCAUAGAGAUACUACAGAACACCGAUCGCGAAGGCAGCUCACUAAGCCGAAAUUGACGCUCAGGCACGAAAGCGUGGGGAGCGAACAGGAUUAGAUACCCCGGUAGUCC